CAGCCAGACACAUAGGAAGCAAGACGAGAAUGACUCUCUGAGAAAAGGUACCAAGCCACGUGGCUAAACAUAGAUAAGAAUUAUGGGUUAAUUUAAGUUGUAAGAGUUUGUUAGUAGUAAACCUGAGCAAUAGGCCAAACAGUUUAUAAUUAAUGUCAGCCUCCGUGUGUUUAUUUGGGACUGAAUGGCCGCAGGACCGGGUGCGACAGGAACUUGAGCCAACAACUUCUUCUACUUCUGGAUCCUGAGCACCCAAGAUCAAGGUGCCUGGAACAGGGUUUCUCUGUGCAGCCCUGGCUGUCCUGUUACUUGCUCUAUAGACCAACCUAUCCUGGAACUCAGAGACCCACCUGCCACCAUCAGCUGGCUGAAAGUGAAAACUUAAACGGUUCGAAAAGUUAAGUAUACUUGAUUUUUAAAUUUCUAUUUUUUUUUUUUGAUUGUGUGGGUGUGAGAGUGUAAGGGCGUGUUCGAACACCUGUGUGUAAGAAGCCCACAGACACCAGAUGAAAGAGCUGGUAAAUGUGAGCCACUGGUAUGGCUGCUGGGAACCCAUCUCUGCUUGUCUGAAUGAGCUGCUUUCAAGUGCUGAAUUAGCUGUGGGGCUAGAGAGAUGGCUCAGCAGUAAAGAGUAUUUUCUGUUAUUCCAGAGGGCCUGUAGGGCUUGAAUGAAAAUGCCCUUCAUAAGCUCCUAUGUUUGAACACUUGGUCUCCAGCUGGAAAAACUGUCUGGGGAGGUUUGGAUUAUGUGGCCUCAUUGGAAGAGGUGUGCCACUGGAGUCCAGCUCUGGAGUUUCAAAAGGCCAGUGUAUUGUCUUCCCCUGUUUGCAGACCAAGGCGUGAGCUCUCAGCGGUUCCUUUGCUCUGCCAUCAGGGACUCUAAUCCUCUGGAACUGCAAGCAAAGCCCAGUUAGUUGCUUUCUUUUGUAAAUUGCCUUGGUCAGGAUGUUUAGUUACAGCACUGGAAAAGUAACUAAGACAGGACUCAAGUCCGGCACCAUGUCAAGUGGCUCACAGCCACCUGUAACUCUAACUCUAGGGAAUCUGAUGCUCUCUUCUGGCUUCCAUAGACACACAGAGACACAUAGUCACAAACGAACACAUACACAUAAAUACAUAUACAUAUUUUUUUAAGCUAAAAACUUUCCGCUCAGAGCUGGGCAGUGGUGGCGCACGACUUUAAUCCCAGCACUCGGGAGGCAGAGGGAGGCGGAUCUCUGUGAGUUCAAGACCAGCCUGGUCUACAAGAGCGAGUUCCAUAACAGGCUCCAAAGCCACAGAGAAACCCUGUCUCAAAAAACAAAAACAAACAAAGAAAACAAAACUUUCCACUCAGAUUGGAAGAAACCGGUGUCAAUUUUUAGAGAAUAAUUUUCCUCCAUAAAAUAAACCUCAUUUUUUUCUCUUCUGCACUGAAAAAAAAAAUUAAAGCUUUCUUUUUGAUAAGUUUCUUCCAAGAAGGGAAAGGGUGAAUUUCAGGUCAUUUGUCCACUCACUUCCUGAGAGAAGGUCACUUCCUUCGUCCUCACGGUGGACCUGGGUGGACCUGCCUGAGACCAAGGGAGGACCUGCGCCUUAUGUGGGGUUUAGUGCUUUUGUCAAACUGCCUUAGAGGGGUCAGAUCCGUCUAAAGACCUAUUGGUUUCCGUGGAAUUUUUUUUCUUUUCUUUUUUUUUUAAUUUUGAAACUGUCUCCCAAGGAAAAGGAGGGGGUAGCCAUCCAGGGUCAGGGACAGAGAGGGUGGAGGCAGCUGGACGACUUCCAUGAGUAAUUUAGCAGGAAGAAAGCCUUCAGACUCAAUUCUGUUCUGGCUUUCCCUGCACCAGGACCACUUGAUGUGAGCAGCAAGAGGCAAGAAUGGGAGACUCAAAAUGCUGGUCUACAGGUGUUUGUUUUGUUUUUGAGACAAAGUUUCACUGUGUAGCCCUGGAACUCAGGUGUAGACUAGGCUGGCCUGGAACUCUGAGGGAUCCACCUGCCUCUGCUUCAAAAACGCUGGGAUAGUAGGUGUGUGCCAUCAUGCCUGGCUUCAGCUGGCGUUUUUGAUACAGGACAAGGGGGACACAGAGGGGCCCUUUCAUGUCCCAUACUGCAAAGACACACUUGUACGCUGUAAUAUAAAAAAGAAUUGACCCUUUGUUAUUCUCUUUCUCUCUCUCUCUCUCUCUCUCUCUCUCUCUCUCUCUCUCUCUCUCUCUGCUGGUGGUCUGUUUGUUCCAAGUUAACUUCAAGAUGCCACUGGAAGAGUGCAAGGCUGAUGCCAUCCUAAACUAAUGAGACAACUUUUCAACAAAGCCUGGCUCAGACAUCCAGAGAACGAAGGGAGACUACAAGCAGUGGUCGCAGACUCUGGCGACCACCUGAGCAAACAGAAUGGAUAGAGAUGACACAGAGGCAGUUCUUUGUGUGUGACAGGGUCACUCUACAUAGCCCUGGCUGUUCUGGAACUCUCUUUGUAGACCAGGCUAGCCUGGAAUCCACAGAGAUCCGCUUGCCUCGGCCUCCCAGUACUGGGACCAAAGGUGUAUGCCAUACCCAGCCCUGAGACAGCUUUUUAAGGACUUGACCUACAGCUUCUCAGACCCCCUACUGUCUGAGUAUAGCAGCCCAGCCUCUGCUCACUGGCUUUUGUGGUGACAGCUAGUGUGAGUUACAGUUUAACCAAGCCCUCUGCCUCCAGAGCUGUGGGGCCCCAUGAGCUGGCCCAGCCCAUGCCCCACUACUCCCUCAGGCAGAACCUCCUGUCCUCCACAGGACUCCCCACUCCACACCCCACCCCCAUCUUCCCGUGUCUUCCAUGAAAACAUCCCGAGCAUUGAUAGGAUUCUAAACCAGAGGAUGGAUCUUAAAAACAAUAAUGCACAUGAGAUUGUUGCUAUCGUCAUUGGUGUAACAGACGCUCACAUUCAAGCCCAGUGGCAGGCCCCAGUGGAGGCACUGGUCACAAACUGUGACCUAGAACAGAGGCUAGAGGCUGGGACACCUGCCACCUGCUGGGCCAAAGCCCAGCUGGCCUGAACCAGCCCCAGGGUAGUGGAUGUGAAAGACCCGCUCGAAAUGCCCCUGAGCCCCCUGCCCCGAAGCUGCCGG
rnacentral:lncRNA from 1 species